CUCAGUCUGUAUACUUUGGUUGGUUAUCUCAGGCCAUUGAAAAAGUGAAUGAGGUGGUGGAAAAUAGAAUCUACCAAGACAUUCAGCUGCGGGGCCCAAAGGCAACUUUGACAUUUAUAGCCCCCCUCAUUGAUGGUGUUCUUGUGGCAAUUAAAAGUCGUUUUUGCCUUGAGACAACAUCUGAAAUGACACUAGUCAAGGCAACCAAGAUAUUGUCCACAGAAUCUUGGCCUUGCAAGAACCAAGAUAAAUUUCAAGGUCAAACCUGUUGCAGUUAGAGAUGUUUUUUGCUGCAAUUUUAUGUAAAAACGUAUUUUGUGUUAAAGUUCAUUGUUUGUAAAAACAAUAUUUCUUUUAUAAAGGUCCAGUUAUAAACGGUACUUUCCCAAUCAAGCGAAAAUUCCCAAAUUCCCAAUCGGCAUCUGAAAAAAUCCCAAUCGGCGUCCGAAUUUUUUCUCAAAACGAUCGAAAGUUUCGAAACAAAACCCAACUUUCGGCGAGCAAACAAAGAAAAUCGUAUAGUUGUGUGUAACCACGCGCUCAAUUAAUUUCGGGUUUUAUUAUUCAGCGUGUUCAAUCAAUAGAGUCUUUACUGUUUCCGGUUCUUUUGUCAGGCAGCCAGCGUACUGUUUUACAUCGGAUUACAAGCUUGAGGGCCUGGGCACAGUCCUCUCAGUUGCCGCCUACAGCCAAGAAAACUGGGCAGCAGUAGAGCGUAUUUUCGAGUCUCACUCGCAAGAGUCAUUUGCUCAAAACUUAUUCAGACAGCUGCAGGGUGUCCAAGACAAAUCAAGGACACCCUACUUAAUCAAGGCAGUUGGGACAUCUGGAUUAAAAGUUGCCACAGAAAUUGCAGAAGAUAAAAGAAAAGACCACAUGAAGCAAUUAGCUGUGGCCACAUUAAAGAUGGGGACGUGGGAAGAUAUUUAGGAGACAUAUACGUUGUCAGACAAGAUGAUAGAGUUCACUGGU